GAUGAACGCUGGCGGCGUGCCUAAUACAUGCAAGUCGAGCGAACAGACGAGGAGCUUGCUCCUCUGACGUUAGCGGCGGACGGGUGAGUAACACGUGGAUAACCUACCUAUAAGACUGGGAUAACUUCGGGAAACCGGAGCUAAUACCGGAUAAUAUAUUGAACCGCAUGGUUCAUUAGUGAAAGACGGUUUUGCUGUCACUUAUAGAUGGAUCCGCGCCGCAUUAGCUAGUUGGUAAGGUAACGGCUUACCAAGGCGACGAUGCGUAGCCGACCUGAGAGGGUGAUCGGCCACACUGGAACUGAGACGCGGUCCAGACUCCUACGGGAGGCAGCAGUAGGGAAUCUGCCGCAAUAGGCGAAAGCCUGACGGAGCAACGCCGCGUGAGAGAUGAAGGUCUUCGGAUCGUAAAACUCUGUUAUUAGGGAAGAACAAAUGUGUAAGUAACUAUGCACGUCUUGACGGUACCUAAUCAGAAAGCCACGGCUAACUACGUG
rnacentral:rRNA from 1 species